rnacentral:rRNA from 2 species
UAUGGCUCAGAUUGAACGCUGGCGGCAGGCCUAACACAUGCAAGUCGAGCGGAUGACGGGAGCUUGCUCCUUGAUUCAGCGGCGGACGGGUGAGUAAUGCCUAGGAAUCUGCCUGGUAGUGGGGGACAACGUUUCGAAAGGAACGCUAAUACCGCAUACGUCCUACGGGAGAAAGCAGGGGACCUUCGGGCCUUGCGCUAUCAGAUGAGCCUAGGUCGGAUUAGCUAGUUGGUGGGGUAAUGGCUCACCAAGGCGACGAUCCGUAACUGGUCUGAGAGGAUGAUCAGUCACACUGGAACUGAGACACGGUCCAGACUCCUACGGGAGGCAGCAGUGGGGAAUAUUGGACAAUGGGCGAAAGCCUGAUCCAGCCAUGCCGCGUGUGUGAAGAAGGUCUUCGGAUUGUAAAGCACUUUAAGUUGGGAGGAAGGGCAGUAAGYUAAUACCUUGCUGUUUUGACGUUACCGACAGAAUAAGCACCGGCUAACUCUGUGCCAGCAGCCGCGGUAAUACAGAGGGUGCAAGCGUUAAUCGGAAUUACUGGGCGUAAAGCGCGCGUAGGUGGUUUGUUAAGUUGGAUGUGAAAGCCCCGGGCUCAACCUGGGAACUGCAUCCAAAACUGGCAAGCUAGAGUACGGUAGAGGGUGGUGGAAUUUCCUGUGUAGCGGUGAAAUGCGUAGAUAUAGGAAGGAACACCAGUGGCGAAGGCGACCACCUGGACUGAUACUGACACUGA